AUUGAACGCUGGCGGCAGGCUUAACACAUGCAAGUCGAGCGGAGAUGAGGUGCUUGCACCUUAUCUUAGCGGCGGACGGGUGAGUAAUGCUUAGGAAUCUGCCUAUUAGUGGGGGACGACAUUCCGAAAGGAAUGCUAAUACCGCAUACGUCCUACGGGAGAAAGCAGGGGAUCUUCGGACCUUGCGCUAAUAGAUGAGCCUAAGUCGGAUUAGCUAGUUGGUGGGGUAAAGGCCUACCAAGGCGACGAUCUGUAGCGGGUCUGAGAGGAUGAUCCGCCACACUGGGACUGAGAAACGGCCCAGACUCCUACGGGAGGCAGCAGUGGGGAAUAUUGGACAAUGGGGGAAACCCUGAUCCAGCCAUGCCGCGUGUGUGAAGAAGGCCUUAUGGUUGUAAAGCACUUUAAGCGAGGAGGAGGCUACUGAGACUAAUACUCUUGGAUAGUGGACGUUACUCGCAGAAUAAGCACCGGCUAACUCUGUGCCAGCAGCCGCCGUAA
rnacentral:rRNA from 1 species